rnacentral:rRNA from 1 species
AACGAACGCUUGCGGCAUGCUUAAAACAUGCAAGUCGAACGAGAAAGUGGCUUCGGCCAUGAGUAUAGUGGCGCACGGGUGAGUAACACGUAGCUAACGUUCCUCUUCGCUGGGGAUAACUUCGGGAAACCGAAACUAAUACCGAAUGAUCUGAUACGGUCUUUGGGCUGUAUCGGUAAAGCCUUCGGGCGCGAGGAGAUCGGGUUGCGUCCCAUUAGCUAGUUGGUAGGGUAAUGGCCUACCAAGGCUACGAUGGGUAGCUGGUCUGAGAGGAUGAUCAGCCACACUGGAACUGAAACACGGUCCAGACUCCCACGGGAGGCAGCAGUUGGGAAUAUUGGACAAUGGGGGAAACCCUGAUCCAGCAAUGCCGCGUGAAUGAUGAAGGCCUUCGGUCGUAAAGUUCUUUUAGUCAGGGAAGAAGGGAAACGUUAGACUGUACCUGCAGAAAAAGACACCGGC